GUGCAAAAAGGAUUCCCUUGAGGUAUAUCUAAUACUCUUUUUAUGCUUACAUUAUGCUCAGUGGUCUGGACGGAGUCAAAGCUUUAAAAAAAAAGGGAAGAACACCCUUUGAUUAGCAAUCAACUUAUCUGAUUGAUAACUGUAGCCUGCAUAAAGGAGUCGAAACACCAAAUAGCAUUCCCACUGCAUUUAUUUUAUUACGUGUGUUAUCUGUUGUAUGUUAUGAGUACAUGUAAUGCGUAAUAUUACUGUAAAUUUGCUAUUAUGUCGGACAACCUGAACUGGCCCGAAGUUCAGACAGUUUAUAGCCGAACGCUCUACCGAAAAAAAAAAAACACAGGUAAUUUUAAAAAAUUUUUCUUGCUGAGAAGUCUUUUUAUUUUUGAAAAUUUUUACAAUUUGUUAUCGCAGGCUGUUUGAACCAUUAUGACUUAGAUGGCAGCACGUGUUCAUCAUUUAACAGCACAGUUAAAAUACGAAAUAAUUUGAACUAAGUUCUUUUUUAAGUGUAGCUUUUCAAAUGUAGUAAAAAUGUGAUACGCUAUUUGUUUUUUUGCAAAAAGAAGAAAAAUAUAUAUAUUACCCUUUAAAUUGAGGUAGUAUUUUUUUUUUAAUUUGUACAAAGAGUCAAAAACUCAUUAGAAGAAUCUAUAUUUCAACAUACGAUUUAUUAUAUUUUACUGAACAAAAAACAAUUCCAAUGUAGUCUGAAAUUUUAAACCUGAUACUUAUAUUUUCGCUUACAGUGUGCUUUAAUUUUCUUCCCGGAGCCAAAGCUUUAAAAAAAAAAAAAAAAAAAAAAAAAAAACCUUACAAUUGAGUAUCAAUUUAGCUCCGUGUUGCAUCAAGUUUUCAUAACAGCUAGGAGCGUUUCUACCUCAUGUAUUCCCUCAUAUUUAAUAUUUAUUGUUCAUGUAAUGCGCGAUAUUUUUCUAAUUUUUUGAUGCAGAUUGUCCGGACGUGGGCCCGAACACGCAUUCUCCUGGUUAGCAGUCGAACGCUCUGCCAAUCAAGCUAUUCAGCUCUGUCGGUAACAGUGCAAGUUAAAGUUAUAAAUUUAACCGAAAACCACAUUCUGUUUCUUUAAAACAGGUUUUUUUGCCCAAAAAAACAAAUUUUAGACCGUGGGUCUAUUUUUCGUCAGUAGCCUGCACGAUAAGCUUUAAAAUAAGGUGUAAAUCAACGAAAUCGAUCAAGAAUUGAGGAAAAUCUCGCGUAGAAACCAAAAACAGGUUACAGAAAUAAUAUAUAAGGAUGUGAAUGUCAUUUUCGGAAAAUCCUGGGUGAUUUGACAUAGAAUGACCCAAUAGUGAACUGGUGACAGAAGCAGAAACACUUAUGUUGUGACACAUAUUUAACGAACCAUGAGAGCAUGAAAAAAAUGAAAGAAAAAUAGCAAAAAUUUGUAUUUUAUUUAUUUUUUUUUAAAUUUAUUCAUUUAUUUUUAUUUAUUUGUUUAUUUAUUUAUUUAUUUUUUUGGUUGUACGUCAAUAAUUUGCUAACGCAUAUUCCUAUACAACUUGAUUCCAAAUUGAAAUUUUUAAAAAAAUAAUAAUUAUUUCUAACUGAUUUCAUUAGUUUCAAUCAGUUUAUCUUUAUUAAAAGUUACAACACUGUAAUAAACUUUUUUUUCACAUAUUAAAUUUUAAAAAUUAUUUAUAGUAUUUAUGUAAUCAUAUAAGGUCAGUUUCGCUAAGUUCCUGAGUGUGACCUGAAAUUGAAAUAUGUAUAUAGGUCUUUAUCAUGCAUUUUUUUUAAUGAAUGUUUUGUUUCAAAUUUUUCAUUUAGUUUUUAUCUGAUGCAAGUGAAAUUAUGGACUUAUUGUUGAAAGUACAAACAAAUGCUGCUCCAAUCGCAGAGGAUGAUCCACAGCUUUCAUACAUGAUAGCAGCUUGGGCCAGAAUUUGCAAAAUUUUAGGAAAGGCUUUUGAACCUUAUUUACCAUAUGUAAUGCAGCCUGUACUUAAAGCUGCUGCUAUUAAACCUGAAAUUGCCUUUGUGAAUUCUGAGGAUGCAAAAGUUGUUGAAAAUGACGAAGAUUGGGAACUGGUUAAUUUAGGUGAAAAGGUAUGUUUACAUUAUCUUUAAUAACUCAUUUCAUCUAAUUUUGCACUAAGCUUUGUGUGUAUCAAUUUUCCUAAAAUUUAUUUAAAUUUCAGUAAAGAUUAACUUUUGU